rnacentral:rRNA from 1 species
CCUACGGGAGGCAGCAGUAGGGAAUCUUGCGCAAUGGGCGAAAGCCUGACGCAGCCAUGCCGCGUGAAUGAUGAAGGUCUUAGGAUUGUAAAAUUCUUUCAGCGGGGAAGAUAAUGACGGUACCCGCAGAGGAAGCUCCGGCUAACUUCGUGCCAGCAGCCGCGGUAAUACGAAGGGGGCUAGCGUUGCUCGGAAUUACUGGGCGUAAGGGGCGCGUAGGCGGGUGUUUAAGUCAGGGGUCAAAUCCCAGAGCUCAACUCUGGAACUGCCUUUGAUACUGGACACCUAGAGUACGGGAGAGGUGUGUGGAACUCCGAGUGUAGAGGUGAAAUUCGUAGAUAUUCGGAAGAACACCAGUGGCGAAGGCGACACACUGGCCCGUUACUGACGCUGAUGCGCGAAAGCGUGGGGAGCAAACAGGAUUAGAUACCCUGGUAGUCCACGCCGUAAACGAUGAGUGCUAGUUGUCGGCAUGCAUGCAUGUCGGUGACGCAGCUAACGCAUUAAGCACUCCGCCUGGGGAGUACGGUCGCAAGAUUAAAACUCAAAGGAAUUGACGG